CCUACGGGAGACAGCAGUGAGGAAUAUUGGUCAAUGGACGCAAGUCUGAACCAGCCAUGCCGCGUGCAGGAAGACGGCCCUAUGAGUUGUAAACUGCUUUUGUACGGGGGUAAACGCAGAUACGCGUAUCUGUCUGCACGUAUCUUACGAAUAAGGAUCGGCUAACUCCGUGCCCGCAGCCGCGGUAAUACGGAGGAUUCAAGCGUUAUCCGGAUUUAUUGGGUGUAAAGGGUGCGUAGGCGGGCGGAUAAGUUAGCGGGGAAAUCCCGAGGCUCAACUUCGGAAUUGCCGCUGAUACUGGUAGGCUAGAGAGUAGGUGAGGUAGGCGGAAUGUAUGGUGUAGCGGUGAAAUGCUUAGAUAUCAUACAGAACACCGAUUGCGAAGGCAGCUUACCAAGCUACGUCUGACGUUGAGGCACGAAAGCGUGGGGAGCAAACAGGAUUAGAUACCCCUGUAGUC
rnacentral:rRNA from 1 species